rnacentral:rRNA from 1 species
GCAACUCGCCUGCAUGAAGUCGGAAUUGCUAGUAAUCGCAGAUCAGCAUGCUGCGGUGAAUACGUUCCCGGGCCUUGUACACACCGCCCGUCACACCAUGGGAGUCGGUAACACCCGAAGUCGGUAGCCUAACCGUAAGGAGGGCGCCGCCGAAGGUGGGAUUGAUGACUGGGGUGAAGUCGUAACAAGGUACC